rnacentral:rRNA from 1 species
AACGAACGCUGGCGGCAUGCCUAACACAUGCAAGUCGAACGGGAUCCUAGCUUGCUAGGUGAGAGUGGCGGACGGGUGAGUAACACGUGGGAAUCUGCCUUUUGGUUCGGGAUAACCGCGGGAAACUGCGGCUAAUACCGAAUGCCCUCGAGAGAGGAAGGAUUUAUCGCCAGAAGAGGAGCCCGCGUCCGAUUAGGUAGUUGGUGGGGUAAAGGCCUACCAAGCCGACGAUCGGUAGCUGGUCUGAGAGGAUGAUCAGCCACACUGGGACUGAGAUACGGCCCAGACUCCUACGGGAGGCAGCAGUGGGGAAUAUUGGACAAUGGGGGCAACCCUGAUCCAGCAAUGCCGCGUGAGUGAUGAAGGCCUUAGGGUUGUAAAGCUCUUUUGCCAGGGAAGAUGAUGACUGUACCUGGAGAAUAAGCCCCGGCUAACUUCGUGCCAGCAGCCGCGGUAAU